rnacentral:rRNA from 1 species
GAUGAACGCUGGCGGCGUGCCUAAUACAUGCAAGUCGAGCGAACGGACGAGAAGCUUGCUUCUCUGAUGUUAGCGGCGGACGGGUGAGUAACACGUGUAUAACCUACCUAUAAGACUGGGAUAACUUCGGGAAACCGGAUCUAAUACCGUAUAAUAUUUUGAACCGCAUGGUUCAAAAGUGAAAGACGGUCUUGCUGGCACUUAUAGAUGGAUCCGCGCUUCAUUAGCUAGUUGGUAAGGUAACGGCUUACCAAGGCAACGAUGCAUAGCCGACCUGAGAGGGUGAUCGGGCACAGUGGAAGUGAGAGACGGUCCAGACUCCGACGGGAGGCAGCAGUAGGGAAGCUUCCGAGAUGGGCGAAAGCCUGAAGGAGGAACGGAGCGUGGGUGAUGAAGGUCUUCGGAUCGUAAAACUGUGUUAUUAGGGAAGAACAUAUGUGUAAGUAACUGUGCACAUCUUGACGGUACCUAAUCAGAAAGCCACGGCAAACUACGU